AUUUAAAUAGCUUAUGAAGAGCAUGGAGUUGAAGAUUCCAAGGAGAAGUUGAUUAAUCUUUAAAUA
rnacentral:tRNA from 1 species